rnacentral:rRNA from 1 species
GGCUCAGGAUGAACGCUAGCGGCAGGCCUAAUACAUGCAAGUCGAGGGGCAGCAGGAAUAGCAAUAUUUGCUGGCGACCGGCGCACGGGUGCGUAACACGUAUACAAUCUGCCUUUAACAGGGGGAUAGCCCGGAGAAAUCCGGAUUAAUACCCCAUAAUACAGAAGAUGGCAUCAUUUUUUGUUGAAAGCUCCGGCGGUUAAAGAUGAGUAUGCGUCUGAUUAGCUAGUAGGUGAGGUAACGGCUCACCUAGGCGACGAUCAGUAGGGGAUCUGAGAGGAUUAACCCCCACACGGAUACUGAGACACGGAUCCGACUCCUACGGGAGGCAGCAGUAAGGAAUAUUGGACAAUGCCCGCAAGGGUGAUCCAGCCAUGCCGCGUGCAGGAAGACGGCCCUAUGGGUUGUAAACUGCUUUUACACCGGAGAAAACCCCCCUACGUGUAGGGGGCUGAUAGUAUGGUGAGAAUAAGCAUCGGCUAACUUCGUGCCAGCAGCCGCGGUAAGACGAAGGAUGCAAGCGUUAUCCGGAUUCAUUGGGUUUAAAGGGAGCGUAGGCGGCCCGAUAAGUCAGUGGUGAAAUCUCCUGGCUUAACUAGGAAAUUGCCAUUGAUACUGUUGGGCUUGAGUACAGUUGCCGUUGGCGGAAUAUGACAUGUAGUGGUGAAAUACAUAGAGAUGUCAUAGAACACCGAUUGCGAAGGCAGCUAACGAAACUGUAACUGACGCUGAGGCUCGAAAGUGCGGGGAUCAAACAGGAUUAGAUACCCUGGUAGUCCGCACUGUAAACGAUGAUUACUCGCUGCUGGGAGGUAACUUUCAGUGGCUUAGCGAAAGCGAUAAGUAAUCCACCUGGGGAGUACGCCGGCAACGGUGA